CCCUCAGUAACGGCGAGUGAACAGGGAUUAGCCCAGCACCGAAGCCUGUGGUCAUUUGAUUACUAGGCAAUGUGGUGUUUAGGUGUGUUCUUGGCAUACUGCUUUACCCUAGGUCCAAUCAUGAGUAUGGCAAUUAGAUUGGCCCAGAGAGGGUGUAAGGCCCGUGUGGGUAAAGAUUAGUGUAGCCCUGAAUGCACCUUGGAGUCGGGUUGUUUGUGAAUGCAGCCCAAAGCAGGUGGUAAACUCCAUCUAAGGCUAAAUACUAACACGAGUCCGAUAGCGAACAAGUACCGUGAGGGAAAGUUGAAAAGUACUUUGAAGAGAGAGUAAACAGUGCGUGAAACCGCUCAAAGGUAAACGGGUGGAGUUGAACUGGAAGCCCAGAGAAUUCAGCUAGUGAGUAUGACUUGAGCUUGGGCAUAUAUUGAUUGGCAUCUAGAGUCUGCGUGCUUGCAGGUCUCUGCUCUCUGAGUAGAGAUUCGCGAUACACUUGUCAAGUGUUGCGUGCUUUAGGUGUCCCGAGUCACCUUGCUAGUGCACUUUCUUUGGGUGUUCACCACGACCGGCGCUGCUGUCUGUCUGUUAUGAUUAAACCGUCUGAGUUUGGUACUUGUAUUAGACAUGGACGGGAUGGCAGGUGGCCCACUUGUCAAGGUUGCUUUCGGGUAGCUUUGGCUUUUGGGUUUAAUCAGCUAAUUAUGAUGGAUCUGUGCAGUGUGUCGGAGAUAACGGGUUUUAGCAAAGGUGCUAUAGCUAACCAGGAGAUUUGGAUUUGAUUGACGUUACUUGCUCCUGUGAGUGCGUUGAUGGUUUGAGUUUUCUGGUUAGUCGUAGUGCUAUUUUGUUAGAGCCAAGAGUCUGUGGUGUAGUGGUAGACUAUCCACCUGACCCGUCUUGAAACACGGACCAAGGAGUUUAACAUGUAUGCGAGUCAUUGGGCGUUACGAAACCCACAGGCGCAGUGAAAGUAAAGGCUGUUUCAGCUAAGGUGAGAUCCUGUUGUUUCCUUUGUCUUGUACACUCAAGCAUUCGUGCAGCAGGCGCAUCACCAGCCCGUCUCAUGACGUGUCCCGUCGGGGCGGAGCUUGAGCAUACAUGUUGAGACCCGAAAGAUGGUGAGCUAUGCUUGCGCAGGUUGAAGCCAGAGGAAACUCUGGUGGAGGACCGCAGCGAUUCUGACGUGCAAAUCGAUCGUCAAACGUGAGUAUAGGGGCGAAAGACUAAUCGAACCAUCUAGUAGCUGGUUCCCUCUGAAGUUUCCCUCAGGAUAGCAGGCAUUCGUACAAAUAAACAGUUUUAUCCGGUAAAGCGAAUGAUUAGAGGUCUUGGGGAUAAAACGUCCUCAACCUAUUCUCAAACUUUAAAUGGGUGAGAAGCCUUGCUCGCUCAAUUGGAGCGAGGCGUUGAAUGUGAGUGCCUAGUGGGCCAUUUUUGGUAAGCAGAACCGGCGCUGUGGGAUGAACCAAACGUUCGGUUAAGGUGCCUAAUGUAACGCUCAUGAGACCCCACGAAAGGUGUUGGUUGGUUAAGACAGCAGGACGGUGGCC
rnacentral:rRNA from 1 species